UGAUCCUGGCUCAGGAUGAACGCUAGCGGCAGGCUAACACAUGCAAGUCGAGGGGUAACAGGAAAGCUUGCUUUUGCUGACGACCGGCGCACGGGUGCGUAACGCGUAUGCAACCUACCUCAUACAGGAGGAUAGCCCUUGGAAACGAGGAUUAAUACUCCAUGGUAUCAUGAAUUCGCAUGUUUUUAUGAUUAAAGUAUUACGGUAUGAGAUGGGCAUGCGUCCCAUUAGCUAGUUGGUGAGGUAACGGCUCACCAAGGCGACGAUGGGUAGGGGGCCUGAGAGGGUGGUCCCCCACACUGGUACUGAGACACGGACCAGACUCCUACGGGAGGCAGCAGUGAGGAAUAUUGGUCAAUGGAGGCAACUCUGAACCAGCCAUGCCGCGUGAAGGAUGACGGCCCUAUGGGUUGUAAACUUCUUUUAUAGAGGAAGAAACUUGUCUACGUGUAGACAACUGACGGUACUCUACGAAUAAGGAUCGGCUAACUCCGUGCCAGCAGCCGCGGUAAUACGGAGGAUCCAAGCGUUAUCCGGAUUCAUUGGGUUUAAAGGGUCCGUAGGCGGGUCUUUAAGUCAGUGGUGAAAGCCGACAGCUCAACUGUCGAACUGCCAUUGAUACUGGAGACCUUGAGUACAAAUGAAGUAGGCGGAAUGAGUCAUGUAGCGGUGAAAUGCAUAGAUAUGACUCAGAACACCGAUUGCGAAAGCAGCUUACUAACAUGUAACUGACGCUGAGGGACGAAAGCGUGGGGAGCGAACAGGAUUAGAUACCCUGGUAGU
rnacentral:rRNA from 1 species